rnacentral:rRNA from 1 species
UUUCUCAGCGGCGGACGGGUGAGUAACACGUGGGCAACCUGCCCUACAGACUGGGAUAACUCCGGGAAACCGGAGCUAAUACCGGGUAAUACAUAGCAUCGCAUGAUGCAACGUUGAAAGUUGGCCUUUGGCUAACACUGUAGGAUGGGCCCGCGGCGCAUUAGCUAGUUGGUAAGGUAACGGCUUACCAAGGCCACGAUGCGUAGCCGACCUGAGAGGGUGAUCGGCCACACUGGGACUGAGACACGGCCCAGACUCCUACGGGAGGCAGCAGUAGGGAAUCUUCCGCAAUGGACGAAAGUCUGACGGAGCAACGCCGCGUGAGUGACGAAGGCCUUCGGGUCGUAAAGCUCUGUUGUUAGGGAAGAACAAGUACCGUUCGAAUAGGGCGGUACCUUGACGGUACCUAACCAGAAAGCCACGGCUAACUACGUGCCAGCAGCCGCGGUAAUACGUAGGUGGCAAGCGUUGUCCGGAAUUAUUGGGCGUAAAGCGCGCGCAGGCGGUCUCUUAAGUCUGAUGUGAAAGCCCACGGCUCAACCGUGGAGGGCCAUUGGAAACUGGGGGACUUGAGUGCAGAAGAGGAGAGUGGAAUUCCACGUGUAGCGGUGAAAUGCGUAGAUAUGUGGAGGAACACCAGUGGCGAAGGCGGCUCUCUGGUCUGUAACUGACGCUGAGGCGCGAAAGCGUGGGGAGCGAACAGGAUUAGAUACCCUGGUAGUCCACGCCGUAAACGAUGAGUGCUAGGUGUUUGGGGGGUUCCACCCUCAGUGCUGAAGUUAACACAUUAAGCACUCCGCCUGGGGGAGUACGACCGCAAGGUUGAAACUCAAAGGAAAUUGACGGGGGCCCGCACAAGCAGUGAAGCAUGUGUUUUAAUUCGAAGCAACGCGAAAGAACCUUACCAGGGUCUUGACAUCCCUCUGCCACUUCC